CUAGCUUCAGCGAUGGAUCGGUCGAUUCGCGUAUCGAUGAAAAACGCAGCAAGCUGCGUUAUUUACCACGAAUUGCAGACACUUAGAGUGGUAAAAUUUUGAACGCAUAGCGCCGUUGGGUUUUCCCUUCGGCACGUCUGGGCAGGGGUUGUU
rnacentral:rRNA from 1 species